UUACGGGAGGCAGCAGUCGGGAAUUUUGGGCAAUGGGCGAAAGCCUGACCCAGCAACGCCGCGUGAAGGAUGAAAUCCUUCGGGAUGUAAACUUCGCAAGAAUGGGAAGAAUUAGUAGGGGCUAAUACCCUCUAUGAUGACGGUACCAUUUGUAAGCUCCGGCUAACUCCGUGCCAGCAGCCGCGGUAAUACGGGGGGAGCAAGCGUUGUUCGGAUUUACUGGGCGUAAAGGGCGCGUAGGCGGCCAGCGCAAGUCAGUUGUGAAAUCUCCGGGCUUAACUCGGAAAGGUCAACUGAUACUGCGCGGCUAGAGUGCGGAAGGGGCAACUGGAAUUCUCGGUGUAGCGGUGAAAUGCGUAGAUAUCGAGAGGAACACCUGCGGCGAAGGCGGGUUGCUGGGCCGACACUGACGCUGAAGCGCGAAAGCCAGGGGAGCGAACGGGAUUAGAUACCCCGGU
rnacentral:rRNA from 1 species